rnacentral:rRNA from 1 species
UACGUAGGUGGCAAGCGUUGUCCGGAUUUACUGGGCGUAAAGAGCGCGCAGGCGGUCGUUCAAGUCGCGUGUGAAAGCCCCCGGCUCAACUGGGGAGGGUCACGCGAUACUGAUCGACUCGAAGGCAGGAGAGGGAAGUGGAAUUCCCGGUGUAGUGGUGAAAUGCGUAGAUAUCGGGAGGAACACCAGUGGCGAAGGCGACUUCCUGGCCUGUUCUUGACGCUGAGGCGCGAAAGCUAGGGGAGCAAACCGG